rnacentral:rRNA from 1 species
AACGAAGUGAAUUGAAAUAUCUUAGUAACUUUAGGAAAAGAAAUCAAACGAGAUUGUUAUUUGGUGCCAACUAAAUAACAAGAGCCUAUUAACAAAACUUGUUAAAGUAAAAUGGAUUAAAAUCUGUUUGAAUAUAGGGGAACCUUCCUCUAAGGCUAAAUAUGGUAUAUAAGCGAUAGUGAAAAGUACCGUGAGGUAAAAUUUGAAAUAGUAGUUUUAUAAGCAGCUUUAGUGAAAAUUUAAAUAAAUAAUUAAAGUGUACCUUUUGCAUAAUGGGUCAGCAAGUUAAUUUUAGAUGCAAGCAAUAAUUUCGUGCGUUUUGCGCAUGAAACUAGCUUAGAUAAACCAAUUAUGAAAAAAUGAAUAAGUAUCUAGAAUUAGACCCGAAGGCUAGUGAUCUUACCAUGGUCAGGGUUAUAAAAGCCCGAACGGGUUAUCGUUGUAUAGAUAUCCGAAGAAUUGUGGUAAGUUAGUGAAAGACAAAACUGACUAGUAUAGCUGGUUUUCCGCGAAACCUAUAUGAGUAGGUAAUUUAACUAACAUCUUAGCAGGUACAGAACUGUGAUCUCGGACAAUAUCUUUUGAUUUUGUCAACAUCGGGGGGUUGUAGUGACUUUACCGGAGAGUAUUUGCACUCGGAAUGGCAAAGAUGAAUGUUGAAUAAUCGGACAUAGUGCGAUAAGGUUGUAUGUCUAAAGGGAAACAGCCCAGAACAAGAGUUAAGGUUCCAAAAUUAUUGUUGAGUGAAAUUAAGGAUGUUUUUUUUAAAAACAAUCAGGAAAUAGGCUUAGAAGCGGCCAUUUUUUGAAGACCUCGUAACAGAGCACUGAUUAAAUUUUUUAGAAAAAAACACCGAAAAUUUAACGGAUCUAAACAAUAUACCGAAACCUUGUACACAUAUUAAUAAUAUUAAUAUUAAUAUUGUAUAUGUGGGGUAGCGGAACAUUGGAUAAAUAUUAAUUAUUAUUUCUUGUAAGAUAUAAUAAGGUUGGAUUAUAUUUAUUUAUUUUCUAUUUUUUAUUAUUAUUAUUAUUAAGAUGUAUAUUUUUUAUGUUUUUAAAAUAAAUAAAUAUAAUCCAUUGAUAUAAUCCAAGAGAGAAUGCUGACAUGAGUAACGAAAAAGGAAUAUCCUCGCCUUAAGCUUAUGGUAUUUUAUUUAAUUUUCGGUAUCUAAAAAUAUUAAUCAAAAGGUAAUUUUGAUGAUAUUUAUAUAUUAAUACUUAUAAGUAAAAAACAAAACCUUUAACUAGUAAUAAAGGUUCUGGAAAAUUUUUUACUUUAGAUAAAAAUAAUAAAUUUUAAUCUAAAAUCUAAAUCUAAGUUACAUACUAUAUAAUUUCUUGUUACAAGUUUUCAAGAUUGUAUAGUUAUAAUCUAAUAUAAUAUAAUCUAAUAUAAUUUUUAUUUUUAUACUAUUUUAGUAUAAUAAGGUUUAUAUAUACCGUACCUAGAUACUAUCACAAGUAAGCAAGUAGAGAAUACAAAGGCGUUUGAGUGAACAAUCAUUAAGGAACUCGGCAAAUUGACUACCGUAACUUCGGGAUAAGGAGGGCCAUUAUGAUUAGUUUAACAUAUAUAAUUAUAUGAUUUAAUUAAACUAAUCAUAAGAGGAAACAUGAAAUAAUGUUGUACGACUGUUUAAUAAAAACACAGCACUCUGCAAAGAUAAAAUAUCAAAGUAUUGAGUGUGAUGUCUGCCCAAUGUCGGCUGGAUAACGGAUUUACCUUGGUUUUUAACUUAGGUUUUGAAGGAUACCCCGAUUAAUGGCGGCCUUACCUAUGAGGGUCCUAAGGUAGCGAAAUACCUUGGCCGUUAAAUGCGGUCCUGCAUGAAUGACUUAACGAUACAACAGCUGUCUCGAUGAUUGUCUCAGUGAAAUUGGAAUAGCAGUGCAGAUACUGUUUACCUCUAGAUAGACGAGAAGACCCUAUGCAGCUUUACUGUUACUAAUUGCAAGAGUUAAAAUUUAGGAUGAUUUCGAGUGUAUAAGGUAGUUGUUUGAUAACAAUGAAACACCUUUAUUCGUUUCCUACUAUAUGCUCUUGAGGAUUGGAAGGCAGUUUAUGCGGGGCACAGAUCCCACAAAAAGUACCUGGGUAUAUCCAAAGUUCAUUUUGUAAAUUUGUAAAUUUGUUUACAAAUAUUUUAAUUUGUUAUAAUUAUAUUGAUAAUUAUACAGUUAUUGUUAGAUUAAAUUCAAUAUUUAUUUUUAUUUUAAGUAAGAUUUUAACUAUAUGGUGAAUAGAUGUAUUUUAAACUUUACCCGGGGCGGUACUGAUCUAAGUUCCGCCGAGGGCGAUAUUUAAAAGUUUUUUUUCAUAUUAAUAUUGUAUUUUAUCUUUAUUAAUAUGAUAAUUAAUUAUACUUUAAAAGUUUAAUGGCUAAAUCUUGCUUUACUGUUUGACCUACAAGUCUAUCAGUCGCGUAAGCGGGGCAUAUGAUCACAAGAUGCAUAAAGGAAAGGUCUUGGAUUAUAGAAAAAGUUACGCUAGGGAUAACAGGCUAAUUUGCGCAAGAGAGUACAAAUUGAGUGCGCGGUUUGGCACCUCGAUGUCGGCUUAGCUCAUCCACAUGAAUGCAAAAAUCAUGAAGGGUUCGACUGUUCGUCGAUUAAAGAGCUACAUGAGCUGGGUUUAAUACGUCGUGAGACAGUAUGGUUUCUAUCUUCUAGAGGAAAUUAAAGUAGAAUAAAGAUAGCCCCUUCGUACGAAAGGAGUUGGGUAUAUUGACCUAUGGUUUACCUGUUGUUUAUGUUAUAUAAUAAUAUAUAUAUUAUUAUAUCAUUUACUUAUACUUAAGUAAAUUGUUCACAUAGGCAUGGCAGGAAGGCUACGUCAGUUAAAGAUAAGUGCUGAAAGCAUUUAAGCGCGAAGCUUACUUUAGGAUACUUUUAAACGUAGUAGAACACUACGA